rfam:Oscillibacter sp. CAG:155 genomic scaffold, scf56
CGCUUAGAUAGAGGCGCGAGGUUCAUCAGUACCCUCCAGCAAGGACAGGCAGCCGCCGGUCGGGAAAGGGGACAUCGCCGAAGUGUUUCGAAGCUGCCUGGCUUCGGGAUGCUGGGCUGUCGGGAAAUACCCGCCGGACUGUCACAAAAACUUUGUGAAGCGCUAUCAAUGGC